rnacentral:piRNA from 1 species
CUUGGUGGCACUCAAGGUGACUUAGG